rnacentral:rRNA from 1 species
CGCGGGGCAACCUGGCGGCGAGUGGCGAACGGGUGAGUAAUAUAUCGGAACGUACCCAGAAGUGGGGGAUAACGUAGCGAAAGUUACGCUAAUACCGCAUACGAUCUACGGAUGAAAGUGGGGGACCUUCGGGCCUCAUGCUUUUGGAGCGGCCGAUAUCUGAUUAGCUAGUUGGUGAGGUAAAGGCUCACCAAGGCGACGAUCAGUAGCUGGUCUGAGAGGACGACCAGCCACACUGGGACUGAGACACGGCCCAGACUCCUACGGGAGGCAGCAGUGGGGAAUUUUGGACAAUGGGCGCAAGCCUGAUCCAGCAAUGCCGCGUGAGUGAAGAAGGCCUUCGGGUUGUAAAGCUCUUUUGUCAGGGAAGAAACGGCUGAGGCUAAUACCUUCGGCUAAUGACGGUACCUGAAGAAUAAGCACCGGCUAACUACGUGCCAGCAGCCGCGGUAAUACGUAGGGUGCAAGCGUUAAUCGGAAUUACUGGGCGUAAAGCGUGCGCAGGCGGUUUUGUAAGUCUGACGUGAAAUCCCCGGGCUCAACCUGGGAAUUGCGUUGGAGACUGCAAGGCUGGAGUCUGGCAGAGGGGGGUAGAAUUCCACGUGUAGCAGUGAAAUGCGUAGAGAUGUGGAGGAACACCGAUGGCGAAGGCAGCCCCCUGGGUCAAGACUGACGCUCAUGCACGAAAGCGUGGGGAGCAAACAGGAUUA